rnacentral:rRNA from 1 species
UGUGUAGGCGGUUCUUUAAGUUUGGUGUGAAAUCUCCCGGCUCAACCGGGAGGGUGCGCCGAAUACUGAGGGACUAGAGUGUGGGAGAGGAAAGUGGAAUUCCUGGUGUAGCGGUGAAAUGCGUAGAUAUCAGGAGGAACACCGGUGGUGUAGACGGCUUUCUGGACCAUAACUGACGCUGAGACACGAAAGCGUGGGUAGCAAACAG